AACGCUAGCUACAGGCCUAACACAUGCAAGUCAGGGGCAGCAGAUCGAAAGCUUGCUUUGAUGCUGGCGACGGCGAAUGGGUGAGUCACGCGUGUCCAACCUGCCCUGUGCCCGGGGAUAGCCCUUGGAAAUGAGGAUUAACACCCGAUACGUGGCGCUUCCGCAUGGCGGCGCCAUGAAACUGACACAGGAUGGGGACGCGUCGGAUUAGCUUGACGGCGGGGCGACGGCCCACCGUGGCGACGAUCCGCAGGGGUUCUGAGAGGAAGGUCCCCCACACUGGCACUGAGACACGGGCCAGACUCCUACGGGAGGCAGCAGUGAGGAAUAUUGGUCAAUGGCCGAGAGGCUGAACCAGCCAAGUAGCCGUGCAGGACGACGGCCCUACGGGUUGUAAACUGCUUUUGCGGGAGGAUAAAGGACGCCACGUGUGGUGUUUUGCAGGUAUCCCGUGAAUAAGGACCGGCUAAUUCCGUGCCAGCCGCUGC
rnacentral:rRNA from 1 species